UACGUAGGUGGCAAGCGUUGUCCGGAUUUAUUGGGUUUAAAGGGUGCGUAGGCGGCCCGUUAAGUCAGUGGUGAAAGCCUCCAGCUCAACUGGAGAACUGCCAUUGAUACUGACGGGCUUGAGUACAGACGAGGUUGGCGGAAUUGAUUGUGUAGCGGUGAAAUGCAUAGAUACAAUCAAGAACUCCGAUUGCGUAGGCAGCUAACUAGGCUGUAACUGACGCUGAGGCACGAAAGCGUGGGGAGCGAACAGG
rnacentral:rRNA from 1 species